UUUUUUCAACCCAACAUCAGGUUACAAUUUUUGUUAUUCAUCGAUUAAAAUUAAUGAUUAAUAGCACUUUUGUUCUUGUCACACGGGCGAUUUUUGUUUUUUCUUCUGUAAAAGAAAAUUGUGAAAUCAACCCCAAUACCUUUACACACAUCAUGUAAUGACUUACCACUAACCUAUAUGCUUUUACUUGUGUUAAUUUUUUCCUUCAAAUAUAUUUAUAACAUAAUGUUUGUAAUAUUAAUGAAAGUUUAUUUUUAAUUAUUUCAAUCAUACUUUUAUAUUAAUU
rnacentral:lncRNA from 1 species